rnacentral:rRNA from 1 species
UACGUAGGGUGCGAGCGUUAAUCGGAAUUACUGGGCGUAAAGCGUGCGCCAGGCGGCGCGUUAAGACAGGUGUGAAAGCCCCCGAGCUUAACUUGGGAAUUGCGCCUUGUGACUGGCGUGCUGGAGUGUGGCAGAGGGGAGGUGGAAUUCCACGUGUAGCAGUGAAAAUGCGUAGAGAUGUGGGAGGAACACCGAUGGCGAAGGCAGCCCUCCCUGGGCCAGCACUGACGCUCAUGCACGAAAGCG